CUUUUGUGUCAUAACUUGCUAAGUACUUGUAUUUUUAUUUGAGACAUGUCCAGAAAGGCUUAGUCUGAGCCCACAAGGAUUCUCUCUGCUUCCUCUGGACCAAGGCACAAAGUGGGGUGACAUACCCAUAGGUUCUUCUAGAGUACGGUGCUUUGUAGCGAAGACUAAAUUCAUUAGCAUUUCUGCUGUGCUAGCAGGGAGCUCAUUCCUCUAACAUGAAAAUGAAGCAUUUUCUCAGUUGUAUUUUCACACAGGAAACUCAACAGCUGUCAUUAUUCUUCAUAAUUCCCAAGCAGACUGCACGAAACUGAAGUUUUCUUCAGUCAUCUCUUUUCUUUUAGUGCUAAAUGCCCAUCGCAUCUACAAUCAAAACCUUCCUGUGAACCAUAUGUUGAAGCACCCAUGCCCUCACUUUAUAUAAAGACAGCCUCACCAAGUAGACUAGAUCGACUGUGCAGUGAGCCCCAGGGAUCUGCCUGUCUCUACCUCUCUAGUGAUGGGAUGGUUGGUGUUGGAUACUCUCAUCUUGGCUGGCCUCAAGCCACUGCUUACAAAGUCAUUCAGGAGGACUUGGGACCUAGCCUCUGGUGUCUCUGGAAACCAUGGCUUCAAUAAUCAUACUGAUUUUCUAAAAAUAAAUAGACAAGUUAAA
rnacentral:sRNA from 1 species